rnacentral:precursor_RNA from 12 species
AAAUUGGACAAAAUUAUAAGAAUGUUUCAUAGCAAACACAGUAGUGUACAAUGCUAAGUUGACAUACGCAUGUACUUACUUUGUUUGUUCUGGAAUCUUCUUUAAGCUACAACUUGGAGAA